ensembl:lncRNA
GUGCUCCGAGCUCCAGCCGAGUCCCGGGGCCAGGCCCCCGCCUUCACCCACCACGUCUCUCCCUGUGACCUCGCCUUCCCCGUCUGGGAAACGUUCCGACCUCUAAGCUAGGACGCCACCGCGCAGAGCUCUCUUCACUCACUGGCACCUCGAUGUUGCUGGUGGAGCCAGAAAGAGCCUCAGCUUGUCAGCGACUGUCUGCGGGAUUCCUGAGUUCUCCAGCAUCAUCUCCCAGCAAGUUCAGAACAUUCUACAGCUUCAGCAAGAUGUGAAGACUUCCUUUGUCAUCAACUUGUAUAUGUGACUCGGACAGAAAAGAUCCUGAGGGCAGAGGUGAGGAGACCUGCUGAGCAGGGCGGAUGUUUGAGUGGAACUGAGUUUAUAAGUGGCCAGGACAGCAGCAGCAAAUGUGGUCGUGUUUUCACAGCUUUUACAUCCAAUGUGUAUAAUACUCAGCUGCUGGAGCCCGCUGUCAGAAUGAGUUGCAUCACCCCAGGACUGAUCGCAUCUAAGGAACGUCAGGGAAGAUAAAGUUCCACCUUGGCUCAGCCACUGUGGAUCUCUGUGACAGAACCUUGGUCUUAACUCACACACCUUGUCUCUUGGUGGUAAUAACACCUUGAUUUCCUGGGAGGAGCAUUCCUUCCCACUUUAUGCCCACGUGGUUCAGCCGGGGCUGAUACUGCCUCUGGGAUGCACUGAUGCUCCUGUGAUGCAGGUUUAACCAAUCAGAGUGCUCUGUUUCCCUGGCCACAGUAGCUGGCUCAAGGAUGGCC